CUAAACUGAGGGAGGUACGUCGAAACUGACCGGCUCGAGGAACGUAGAGGAAAGCGGAACUCUCGGAGUAGCGGUGAAAUGCGUAGAGACCGAGAGGUACCUCGAUGGCGAAGGCAGCUUUCUGGGCGUUUCCUGACGCUGAAGCGCUAAGGCCAGGGGAGCGAAGGGGAUUAGAUACCCCCGUAGUCCUGGCUUCAAACGAUGUGGGCUUGGUGUCGGCCCCCUAUAGAGGGUCGUUGCCGGAGCUAACGCGUUAAGCCCACCGCCUGGGGAUUACGUCCGCAAGGAUGAAACUCAAGGGAAUUGACGGGGGCCCACACAACCGGUGGAGCACGUGGUUUAAUUCGAUGAUAAGCGAAGAACCUUACCAGGGCUUGACCUAGCGGUAGUAGAACCCCGAAAGGGGAACGAACCUAGACUUUGUCUAGGUAGCC
rnacentral:rRNA from 1 species